rnacentral:rRNA from 1 species
GGGUUGUGAGGUUAAGCGACUAAGCGUACACGGUGGAUGCCCUGGCAGUCAGAGGCGAUGAAGGACGUGCUAAUCUGCGAUAAGCGUCGGUAAGGUGAUAUGAACCGUUAUAACCGGCGAUUUCCGAAUGGGGAAACCCAGUGUGUUUCGACACACUAUCAUUAACUGAAUUCAUAGGUUAAUGAGGCGAACCGGGGGAACUGAAACAUCUAAGUACCCCGAGGAAAAGAAAUCAACCGAGAUUCCCCCAGUAGCGGCGAGCGAACGGGGAGCAGCCCAGAGCCUGAAUCAGUGUGUGUGUUAGUGGAAGCGUCUGGAAAGGCGCGCGAUACAGGGUGACAGCCCCGUACACAAAAAUGCACAUGCUGUGAGCUCGAUGAGUAGGGCGGGACACGUGGUAUCCUGUCUGAAUAUGGGGGGACCAUCCUCCAAGGCUAAAUACUCCUGACUGACCGAUAGUGAACCAGUACCGUGAGGGAAAGGCGAAAAGAACCCCGGCGAGGGGAGUGAAAAAGAACCUGAAACCGUGUACGUACAAGCAGUGGGAGCACGCUUAGGCGUGUGACUGCGUACCUUUUGUAUAAUGGGUCAGCGACUUAUAUUCUGUAGCAAGGUUAACCGAAUAGGGGAGCCGAAGGGAAACCGAGUCUUAACUGGGCGUUAAGUUGCAGGGUAUAGACCCGAAACCCGGUGAUCUAGCCAUGGGCAGGUUGAAGGUUGGGUAACACUAACUGGAGGACCGAACCGACUAAUGUUGAAAAAUUAGCGGAUGACUUGUGGCUGGGGGUGAAAGGCCAAUCAAACCGGGAGAUAGCUGGUUCUCCCCGAAAGCUAUUUAGGUAGCGCCUCGUGAAUUCAUCUCCGGGGGUAGAGCACUGUUUCGGCAAGGGGGUCAUCCCGACUUACCAACCCGAUGCAAACUGCGAAUACCGGAGAAUGUUAUCACGGGAGACACACGGCGGGUGCUAACGUCCGUCGUGAAGAGGGAAACAACCCAGACCGCCAGCUAAGGUCCCAAAGUCAUGGUUAAGUGGGAAACGAUGUGGGAAGGCCCAGACAGCCAGGAUGUUGGCUUAGAAGCAGCCAUCAUUUAAAGAAAGCGUAAUAGCUCACUGGUCGAGUCGGCCUGCGCGGAAGAUGUAACGGGGCUAAACCAUGCACCGAAGCUGCGGCAGCGACGCUGAUGCGUUGUUGGGUAGGGGAGCGUUCUGUAAGCCUGCGAAGGUGUGCUGUGAGGUAUGCUGGAGGUAUCAGAAGUGCGAAUGCUGACAUAAGUAACGAUAAAGCGGGUGAAAAGCCCGCUCGCCGGAAGACC